UGGAUCGACCUCAUGAUUGAGCCUUAUUUGUACAAUACCGUCAUUUUGUAAAUCUUAUGUUUUAAAUUACCGGAUACAGUGUAGCAGCAUUUUAUUUUUUACUGCCACCCGUUAAUGCAGGCCUAUGUUUUUGUGAAUUUCCAUGUAAGGAUCCUUGGAUGAGUAGGACGACCAGUUACUCUUCAAUGACCCGAUUCUUCAUCUUCCCCGUGAUAUAAAAUAAAAACACAACGACAGGAUAAAGAAUCUAUCGUCAUACUCACAUUGAAAACAGUGCUGGAUAUUAUAUCUGCAAAACCGGCCAUUUUGAAGUUUUGAUGCCAUCCUUGAAUCUGAUUCCAAAAUAAUGGACAGAUGCAAUUUUAAUGUAUUGAAGAGAUUUUUAGAUUAUU